GCUUACGGCCAUACCAGCCUGAAUACGUCCGAUCUCGGAAGCUAAGCAGGGUCGGGCCUGGUUAGUACUUGGAUGGGAGACCGCCUGGGAAUACCAGGUGCUGUAAGCA
ensembl:rRNA 5S_rRNA 5S ribosomal RNA